GUGCUGCUCCACGUUUCGCCCUUCGUCCCCAUCCUCGUACUCCGCUUCACAACGACCGCUGGCAACCACAGCUGAUGUCUGACUGAUGGGAGGCGCGAUGUGCAGGCCGCUGCUCUGGAUGUGGUGGUUCUGAGGGACAAAGUUAAAGCAGCCUGCGGAAAUGCAAGCUGAUCUAAAGUUGUGUAAAAUCUACCAAGCAAGAAAAUCAAGUCUUCAGUGCUCUCUGCAGAAACUCCUGCAUGGUCCUGGGCUCAAUACUGUAAUCAGACUGGAGAGCAUUGUUAUAAACAAGCGGUAUCUUCCCAGCUACCGGUGAGUUGAGGCUUCCAGUGGAUGAUGGGAUACCAGCCGCAGGCUGCUGUCCACAGGGCAGCUGUUUGGAAAACAGCCAUCUAUAAGGUGCCUGCUUGAAUAUGAAUGGCAGCAAGUCUUUGAGCUCCCUCCAGAAGUUACUCUGAACCUAUUGAACUGAUUCAUAGAUGGCUGGAAAAUGUCAAAUAUUUGUCGUGUUCAGGGUUCAAGCCAAAGUCCAACCCUGCAGCUGCCUCAUUUAUCAAAAUUAAUGCACAAAGGCAUUCAUUUUUAACAUGAUCACAUCUGUCAACUACCGUAUAAAAAUUAAUUAUUUAUAUAUCUCUGUUUUUACAUCAGCUCUGACACAAUGUGGCUUUAAUCACUAAAAAAGUAUCAAAGUAUUUUAUGAGCAUAACUAAUCUAAUCUAACUAAAUCUAAUCUGUUACUUAGAACUCCUCACCAAAAAAGGAUGUAAUGCAUUGAUAUGUAUCCAUUCUUCCAACAAAAAUGUGCAUCACUGUUUUAUUCUUAAAAUAAUACAGCGGGUGAGAACUGAGAGCAAAUAAUGUAUAGCAGGGGUGUUAAACAUUAGAAAUGGCCCAGCAAAGUCCCCAGUUCAGCUCACUGAACAGCUUUGGAAAGCAGGCAAAGGUUUUCAGAGCCCAUGAAGUGAUUUCCAAGGUUCCCAGAAAAAAAUUGCAACAUCAGUAAAACAUUCAAAUUCGCUUAAUAAUGAAAAAAAGCUCAAUUUAAAUAUAUGAUCUAC